UUUCCCAAACCCCUUUCUAAUUUUCGCUUAUUUUUCAUUUUCAUAAACCCUCGCCCACUCUCACUUAAUCAAAACCCAUAGCAAUAAAGAGACUACAGAUCUAUCAAUCUCUGUUCCUUCACUUAAUCUCUUCCAUUUCUUCUUUACUUGAUAUCUUCCAUUUCUUCUUCAUUUCCUCCGAUUUCAAGCCCGUGUAGUUUGAAAAUUCCAAAUACAAUAGCUCUCUGCUUUUCUUCAGCGCCUCCUCUGUUGCAAAAUGAAAGAGAUAUGAAAGAAAACUUCAGAUCUAUCAAUCAAUUGGAUCCAAGUGAUGCGGCUAGCGGAUCCAUUUCAACCAUGGAUGUAAGAAGAUCAUCCAGUGGAAGUAAUCCUAACGACAACCAUUGAAGUUGCUUGCAAAUGAAUUAGAUAAUUAAGUAUCAUACUCGAUUGAAUGGUCAUAGUAGAUCUUUUGUCCAUAAUGGUUGGAGUGGAUAUUCUGUUUAAUGUUAGUUUUAAGACUAAUUAUAAUAUUGAUGUUUUGUGUUUAAUGGUUGGAGCAGUUGUGUUUAAAGCAAAAUUUUGAGACUAAUGAUAAUUUACUUUAAUGUAUUUUGUGGUUUAUUAAUA